rnacentral:rRNA from 1 species
GCGGACAGAUGGGAGCUUGCUCCCUGAUGUUAGCGGCGGACGGGUGAGUAACACGUGGGUAACCUGCCUGUAAGACUGGGAUAACUCCGGGAAACCGGGGCUAAUACCGGAUGCUUGUUUGAACCGCAUGGUUCAAACAUAAAAGGUGGCUUCGGCUACCACUUACAGAUGGACCCGCGGCGCAUUAGCUAGUUGGUGAGGUAAUGGCUCACCAAGGCAACGAUGCGUAGCCGACCUGAGAGGGUGAUCGGCCACACUGGGACUGAGACACGGCCCAGACUCCUACGGGAGGCAGCAGUAGGGAAUCUUCCGCAAUGGACGAAAGUCUGACGGAGCAACGCCGCGUGAGUGAUGAAGGUUUUCGGAUCGUAAAGCUCUGUUGUUAGGGAAGAACAAGUACCGUUCGAAUAGGGCGGUACCUUGACGGUACCUAACCAGAAAGCCACGGCUAACUACGUGCCAGCAGCCGCGGUAAUACGUAGGUGGCAAGCGUUGUCCGGAAUUAUUGGGCGUAAAGGGCUCGCAGGCGGUUUCUUAAGUCUGAUGUGAAAGCCCCCGGCUCAACCGGGGAGGGUCAUUGGAAACUGGGGAACUUGAGUGCAGAAGAGGAGAGUGGAAUUCCACGUGUAGCGGUGAAAUGCGUAGAGAUGUGGAGGAACACCAGUGGCGAAGGCGACUCUCUGGUCUGUAACUGACGCUGAGGAGCGAAAGCGUGGGGAGCGAACAGGAUU